rnacentral:rRNA from 1 species
UGGGGAAUAUUGGACAAUGGGCGCAAGCCUGAUCCAGCCAUGCCGCGUGAGUGAUGACGGCCUUAGGGUUGUAAAGCUCUUUCGCACGCGACGAUAAUGACGGUAGCGUGAGAAGAAGCCCCGGCUAACUUCGUGCCAGCAGCCGCGGUAAUACGAAGGGGGCUAGCGUUGUUCGGAAUCACUGGGCGUAAAGGGUGCGUAGGCGGAUUUUUAAGUCAGGGGUGAAAUCCCGAGGCUCAACCUCGGAACUGCCUUUGAUACUGGGGAUCUUGAGUCCGGAAGAGGUGAGUGGAACUGCGAGUGUAGAGGUGAAAUUCGUAGAUAUUCGCAAGAACACCAGUGGCGAAGGCGGCUCACUGGUCCGGAACUGACGCUGAGGCACGACAGCGUGGGGAGCAAACAG